rnacentral:rRNA from 1 species
UCGCGCCCGCGACUCGGCGAGAAGUCCAUUGAACCUUAUCAUUUAGAGGAAGGAGAAGUCGUAACAAGGUUUCCGUAGGUGAACCUGCGGAAGGAUCAUUG